CUCUGGAGGGGGGAGGGGAGGCGACCGAGGCCUGCUGACCAGUGGGAGCCGCCAAGUUCGGCGGCGGCUAAGCCUGAGUGGCAGCCAUGGCGGCUGACCAUUGUUCCCCCCUUGGUGGCGGCCCCUCGAUCCAGGCGGGAGGGGGGGUGGCCCCCCAGCCGCGGGGCCCUUGGCAUUCCCGGCUGUCCCCCUCGCUCCCUGGCAGCCUAUUCUCCAGCUCCCCCUGGCCUCCCCGGGCCGGUUUCACAUGCCAACGCCGAUUUAGGCCCGAACAAAAGACGCGGCCGCUGACGGCUUCUCCUGGGGCCCGGUUGCCAUGGCAACGCCGGCCCCGGGGGCAGGCGGCCUCCAAUCACAGCUGCUGGAUCAGAUUAGUGCGGGCUCUAAUGCUCGGUGCUCAGACACAAAGACACCCCGCCGGAGCCGAGCUGGGGCCUGCAGCUUCCCAGGAGCGCCCUUCCCUCUGGGGCCCAGGCUCUGCCUGCCCUGCAUCUUGGACCCAGGUCCCCAAGGAGGCGCCUGAGCCAAGGCCUCUGGCCCCAACAGGUCAGCAUCCUCUGGCCUGCAGACCCCCCACCCGGCCACAGCUCACUGUCUUAUCUCCCAAGCCUGGUCCAGCUUGGCCUUCUGGGGAAAUUCACAUGUCAUGAUGGACAGAGCAAGGGACCCAACCCCUGGCCUAUCUCACCUGAAACACUCCAGCAGGCGGCCCUCCUUCACCCCCUGCUCUUCAGACAGACAGACCCCUUUGACACUUCCCCAUGGAACCUUCAAGUUUACACUGCUCGAUUUUUCUAGGGAUACCUUUAUUGUCUUAGUGGUACCACACCUCCUCCUGUUCAUGGCCUACCUCUUCCAAGGCCCAGAAAUGAAAUCUCAACACACCCAAGAGCUGAGGGCUAGUCAUCUAUCUGGGCCAGAGCAGACUUUGGGAUGUUUUUCUUCAGUCCCAAUACCUAAGGGAUCAGCACCAUCCCCAGCUCCCCACCUGGGAGCUGGCAGCCUUGAUGGAAUCCAUGGUGGAGAAUCUCAGAGCACCUUACUUGCCACCAAGGGGGGAAAUGAGACCUCCUUGAGAAGGAUCAUCCAGUCCUGGGGUGAUCUCAGCAAAGUCCAGACUCCUGGUACCAGACUUGGCCUUUCUUCCCAUCCCCGUAAGUCAAUGGCUUAAAAAACUAAGAUCUGGUCAGUCGGCAUGAUGUCUGGAAUUGAAUCUAAGGUCCUUGCCUUGCAUCACAA